GCACGAACCUCUGGCAGGUGUCUGACGAAAACAAAAGAAAAAACGGAAGGAACUGAGUUUUUUUUUUUUUUUUUUUUUUUU
rnacentral:ribozyme from 1 species